rnacentral:rRNA from 1 species
UACGAAGGGUGCAAGCGUUACUCGGAAUUACUGGGCGUAAAGCGUGCGCAGGCGGUUCGUUGUGUCUGAUGUGAAAGCCCCGGGCUCAACCUGGGAACGGCAUUGGAAACUGGCGAGCUAGAGUGUGGCAGAGGGGGGUGGAAUUCCGCGUGUAGCAGUGAGAUGCGUAGAGAUGCGGAGGAACACCGAUGGCGAAGGCAGCCCCCUGGGCUGACACUGACGCUCAGGCACGAAAGCGUGGGGAGCAAACAGG